rnacentral:lncRNA from 10 species
AUGUCCAUGGUCACAUGGGAAGAGAAAUGUAAACCCAGGUGUGUCCAGCCCCAAAGGAGGAGGAGAACAAGACGAGGGCGUGAGAGGGGACGGUGGCAGGCACAGAGGCACAGGGCGUGGAGGCCAGGUGAGGAGAUGGGGUUUCCUGCACGCAUGGGAGCCACGGCUGGUUUUCGCGCAGGACAGAUGCAAGCUCUUUGGCAUAUUUUAGGGAAUUCAUCUGACUUCCACGUCCAGAGUAGAGCUCUGGAGCAGGAGGGUGAGACAGAGGCCGGGCCCUGGGGCCCUGGGGGAGCCACAGCAGCUACAGCAGCAGGGAGGUGGGGUGAUGGCAUUGCCAGCAUCCUCAGUCUACCAACGACACCAGGAACCUUCCCGGCAGCAUCUUAUGCUCCCCUUGACGUGGGCCAGGCCACGACGCCAAAGUGCAGGCCGGCAAAAGCCAGUAUCCUGGGCCAGGAGGACCUCAGGAACCCAGGAUCUGAUCACUAUGGCCCUUGGUUUAUGCUGUGUGCUCACGACUGGUCCAGUGUGUUUCUUCUUAUGUGCGUAUGUGUAUAAUAAACCCUGUGAGCCCACCACCAACACGAGAACCACAGCAUCGUCCAUCACUUGCUUCUACUGAGGGCCUGUGAUCUCCCUCACCCAGGUGACCACACUCCUGAAUCCUGAAUUUAAACUAAAAGGACAACUAUAUAGUUUUUCAUAUGUAGGUAUUUGAAAAGGUAUGAUGUUUAGUUUUACUGUUUUUUAAAUUUCAUUUUUCGUUUCUCUUUCCAUUGUUCCUGGAACCAUGUUGAGUCAGGCUUGCUGUGACUCCAGCAAGAUGGGUGAGCAGAGGCUCUGCACAGUGAGUGGCGAGCUGGGGUCUGAACCCCAGCCUGUGCAGCUCUGCGGCUGCGCUCCCUUAGCUCUGGGCAGCUGGCUCCCCGAUCAGCUCCAGUGGGCAGGCUGGGUCUGCCUCGCCCAACACAGAAUCACCAGGGGCUGGUGCAUGGAAGGUGCCUAUUUGUUGAGUGAAAUCGUUUC